rnacentral:rRNA from 2 species
AGGUAAAUCCGGUUCACUUUAACACUGAGGCGUGAUGACGAGGCACUACGGUGCUGAAGCAACAAAUGCCCUGCUUCCAGGAAAAGCCUCUAAGCAUCAGGUAACAUCAAAUCGUACCCCAAACCGACACAGGUGGUCAGGUAGAGAAUACCAAGGCGCUUGAGAGAACUCGGGUGAAGGAACUAGGCAAAAUGGUGCCGUAACUUCGGGAGAAGGCACGCUGACACGUAGGUGAAGUGAUUUACUCAUGGAGCUGAAGUCAGUCGAAGAUACCAGCUGGCUGCAACUGUUUAUUAAAAACACAGCACUGUGCAAACACGAAAGUGGACGUAUACGGUGUGACGCCUGCCCGGUGCCGGAAGGUUAAUUGAUGGGGUCAGCGCAAGCGAAGCUCCUGAUCGAAGCCCCGGUAAACGGCGGCCGUAACUAUAACGGUCCUAAGGUAGCGAAAUUCCUUGUCGGGUAAGUUCCGACCUGCACGAAUGGCGUAAUGAUGGCCAGGCUGUCUCCACCCGAGACUCAGUGAAAUUGAACUCGCUGUGAAGAUGCAGUGUACCCGCGGCAAGACGGAAAGACCCCGUGAACCUUUACUAUAGCUUGACACUGAACAUUGAGCCUUGAUGUGUAGGAUAGGUGGGAGGCUUUGAAGCGUGGACGCCAGUCUGCGUGGAGCCGACCUUGAAAUACCACCCUUUAAUGUUUGAUGUUCUAACGUGGACCCGUAAUCCGGGUUGCGGACAGUGUCUGGUGGGUAGUUUGACUGGGGCGGUCUCCUCCUAAAGAGUAACGGAGGAGCACGAAGGUUGGCUAAUCCUGGUCGGACAUCAGGAGGUUAGUGCAAUGGCAUAAGCCAGCUUGACUGCGAGCGUGACGGCGCGAGCAGGUGCGAAAGCAGGUCAUAGUGAUCCGGUGGUUCUGAAUGGAAGGGCCAUCGCUCAACGGAUAAAAGGUACUCCGGGGAUAACAGGCUGAUACCGCCCAAGAGUUCAUAUCGACGGCGGUGUUUGGCACCUCGAUGUCGGCUCAUCACAUCCUGGGGCUGAAGUAGGUCCCAAGGGUAUGGCUGUUCGCCAUUUAAAGUGGUACGCGAGCUGGGUUUAGAACGUCGUGAGACAGUUCGGUCCCUAUCUGCCGUGGGCGCUGGAGAACUGAGGGGGGCUGCUCCUAGUACGAGAGGACCGGAGUGGACGCAUCACUGGUGUUCGGGUUGUCAUGCCAAUGGCACUGCCCGGUAGCUAAAUGCGGAAGAGAUAAGUGCUGAAAGCAUCUAAGCACGAAACUUGCCCCGAGAUGAGUUCUCCCUGAGACUUAGAGUCUCCUGAAGGAACGUUGAAGACGACGACGUUGAUAGGCCGGGUGUGUAAGCGCAGCGAUGCGUUGAGCUAACCGGUACUAAUGAACCGUGAGGCUUAACCUUAC